rnacentral:lncRNA from 1 species
UUUAUUUACUUGUUCUUUAUUACCUUGCAAACCUUUCUAUCACACCCACUAAGUACUUCUAGUUUCCUUCCCGCAAAGUAGUUUCAUACUUGUUCUAGGUAAAGUAAGCAUUAGCAUGCGUAGAGUUGUACGAGUGGUCGAUGGAACUUGAGAGAACAUUAACUCUACCUUUAGCUCCUCGUUGGGUUUGACUCUUAAUUAUCAAAAAAGGCUACAAACGAUCCCCUAUACUUGUGGGUAAUUACAUGGCACAGUUUUUCACCCUCAGAGGUAGGGACCAAGGUGGCGCCCCAAGAGGAUCACACCACCCACAUGCAUUGUCGUUGUCGGCGCUGAUGCGCAAAGCUUUCGCUCGAACUCAUCUCCAUCGUGCCAUGUGAGCACACCACUAGCCCUCCACAACGAGGUCCUCACCAUGAUGGAACGGGGGACAUCAUGUCCAAAUUAGGGCUUGGCCACCACCAACGGCGACAACUUUGCCAAGAUAACUGACCACAACGCACAUCGCCACCCGCAUACCCAAGCACAC